rnacentral:tRNA from 1 species
GCUUCUGCAGCUCAGUGGUAGAGCUCCUAUAAGUGGUGAGCGAAAGCGCCUAGCAAUAACUGCAAGGAGGUUGCAGGUUUGAAUCCUGCCCGGCGGCU